UACAGGGGGGGCAAGCGUUGUUCGGAAUUACUGGGCGUAAAGGGCUCGUAGGCGGCCGGCUAAGUCCGACGUGAAAUCCCCAGGCUUAACCCUGGGAACUGCGUCGGAUACUGGGCGGGCUUGAAUCCGGGAGAGGGAUGCGGAAUUCCGAGGUGUAGCGGUGAAUGCGUAGAUAUCUGGAGGAACACCGGUGGCGAAGGCGGCAUCCUGGACCGGCAUUGACGCUGAAUAGCGAAAGCCAGGGGAGGCAAACGGG
rnacentral:rRNA from 1 species